rnacentral:rRNA from 1 species
GACGAACGCUGGCGGCGUGCUUAACACAUGCAAGUCGAACGGAAAGGCCCUGCUUGCAGGGUGCUCGAGUGGCGAACGGGUGAGUAACACGUGGGUGAUCUGCCCCUUACUUUGGGAUAAGCCUGGGAAACUGGGUCUAAUACUGGAUAGGACCAUGCUGUAGGUGGUGUGGUGGAAAGAUUUUUUCGGUAAGGGAUGAGCUCGCGGCCUAUCAGCUUGUUGGUGGGGUAAUGGCCUACCAAGGCGUCGACGGGUAGCCGGCCUGAGAGGGUGGACGGCCACAUUGGGACUGAGAUACGGCCCAGACUCCUACGGGAGGCAGCAGUGGGGAAUAUUGCACAAUGGGCGCAAGCCUGAUGCAGCGACGCCGCGUGGGGGAUGACGGCCUUCGGGUUGUAAACUCCUUUCAGCCAUGACGAAGCCUCUUUUGGGGUGACGGUAGUGGUAGAAGAAGCACCGGCUAACUACGUGCCAGCAGCCGCGGUAAUACGUAGGGUGCGAGCGUUGUCCGGAAUUACUGGGCGUAAAGAGCUCGUAGGUGGUCUGUCGCGUCAUUUGUGAAAGCCCGGGGCUUAACUCCGGGUUGGCAGGUGAUACGGGCAUGACUGGAGUACUGUAGGGGGGACUGGAAUUCCUGGUGUAGCGGUGAAAUGCGCAGAUAUCAGGAGGAACACCGGUGGCGAAGGCGGGUCUCUGGGCAGUAACUGACGCUGAGGAGCGAAAGCAUGGGUAGCGAACAGG